rnacentral:rRNA from 1 species
UCUGGUGACCAUAGCGGCGGGGAAACACCCGGUCCCAUCCCGAACCCGGAAGUUAAGCCCGCCAGCGCCGAUGGUACUGCCGGGGCGACCCGGUGGGAGAGUAGGACGUUGCCAGGG